rnacentral:rRNA from 1 species
UACGUAGGGUGCGAGCGUUAAUCGGAAUUACUGGGCGUAAAGCGUGCGCAGGCGGUUUUGUAAGUCAGAUGUGAAAUCCCCGGGCUCAACCUGGGAAUGGCAUUUGGGACUGCAAGGCUGGAGUGCGGAAGAGGAGACUGGAAUUCCUGGUGUAGCAGUGAAAUGCGUAGAUAUCAGGAGGAAUACCGAUGGCGAAGGCAGGUCUCUGGGCUGACACUGACGCUCAUGCACGAAAGCGUGGGGAGCAAACAGG